GUUUCUUUGUAAAUAUCCUAGACUUCUUCCCUGCAAAAAGUAGCAGGCAGGAUUAGGGUGACAAAUGACCAUCCAACAUACAACUUAAGCACAGAGAGUUUAAAUGUUUUAUCCCCAUUUAUCACAAACAUAUAAGAUAGAUACUAUAACUCUCGUAUUUAUAAUAAGAAAACUGUGGAUUAUGCAGUUUGAAUAUUGAGCCCAGGUGACUCAGUGAUACAUGGGGUUUGUACUUGUAUCCUUCACCUGCAGUGCUCUUUCUACUGAGUCAGACUGAAGGAGAUGAUUAAGAGAAAAUACCAAUGAAAAAAAUCUCUGCAUUUUAAAAAAAGGCUACGAUAUCUCAAAUAUCUCAAAAAUAUCCCCAAGCAUCUCUGAUGUAAAAUCAAAUUUUUACCAUAAUUUAAGGCAUUGCUUCAUUCAGUCUCAACUUCACUCCCCACCUUUCACUCUCUCCUGCUCCAGAAAGUAAGUUUUAGACAUCUAAUGCACAGCGUAGUGAUUACAGUCAACAGUACUCUGUUAUAAACUUCAUUGCUCUUAUUUCAAAGAGCAAAAAAUAACCAUGAUAGAUGUUAGGUAACACUACAGCAGUAAUCAUAAUGAAAUAUAUAAAUGAUCACAUCAACACAUCGUACACCCUAAAUAUGUGUCAUGUUGUAUGUCAAUUAUCUCCAUUAAAAACAAACAAAAAACCCAUAUAUUUACACCGUCUCCUCAAGACAAGUUUCCCCAAAACCUGGCUACACAUGAAACUCCUCUGGGAGCUUUUACACUUCUACUUCACAGGUCUACUCCUCUAACAAUUGAUUCACAAUUCUGAUUACCAGAAGGUGAAUGCAUUAUUUUUACCAUUUCCUAGGUAACUGUAAUAUGCCAACAGUUUUGAAAACUUUUGAGAGCUUAUGCCCUUAAUUAUCUAAUUACCAUCCCCAGACUCUUCUUUCCUGCUUGAUUCUGUUUACUUUGUUCAACUCAUGCUUGGAAAGCUUUUGCCUCUCUUCUCUAUCUUAAGAUCUCUAACCCUUCCCAUAUUUCUGGGUACAUGAGAUCAAGUUGUUCCCAAGCCUCCUACUGAGGGAAGAUUAAUGGAGGGUUACUUGUGAAGCAUCUCUCCUGACCUACUUUACAGCUUCCACUGAGGACACAGAAUAGCUCUGUGUCUUAUCUGUCCUGGGCCAUCAAUCUUACCCCAUCAAACUCCUCACCAGAGGAACAAUAAAAGAGAAUGAGCUGGAAGGAGAUGGCUGAGGAGGCAGGUGAGCAAGACAGCCACAGUCUCCAGAGCCGCUGACAUCACUCCCCAUUAUCUCACUGUCAGGUAGGCCAGGUGGGGACUCUAGGAAGAUGUGGGUACCCUGGCAUGUACCCCAGGAGGACUGCUCCAGAUACUCCUAAAGGUGUCUUCCACGGACUUGAUAACAACAUGUCCUUCUCAUCAUGGAUCAACAUUAUGUUCAUCAUUGGCUUGGCAUUUCGUCUUUAUUCUGCCAGAUUGUAAGGAGUAUGUGGAUCAACCAGAUAUUUGCACAAAAGAAGUAGAUCCAGUCUGUGCAACCGAUGGCCAAACGUACGCCAAUAAAUGCAUUUUCUGCACUAAAAAGCU